UACGUAGGGUGCAAGCGUUAAUCGGAAUUACUGGGCGUAAAGCGUGCGCAGGCGGUUAUAUAAGACAGUUGUGAAAUCCCCGGGCUCAACCUGGGAACUGCAUCUGUGACUGUAUAGCUAGAAUACGGUAGAGGGGGAUGGAAUUCCGCGUGUAGCAGUGAAAUGCGUAGAUAUGCGGAGGAACACCGAUGGCGAAGGCAAUCCCCUGGACCUGUGACUGACGCUCAUGCACGAAAGCGUGGGGAGCAAACAGG
rnacentral:rRNA from 1 species